rnacentral:tRNA from 3 species
UCGGGAUAGCAGGACUUGAACCUGCGACAUCCUGCUCCCAAAGCAGGCGCGCUACCAAACUGCGCUAUAUCCCG